rnacentral:lncRNA from 1 species
ACAAUGGGGGCCCAAGGUGAGAUGAAGCUGUAGUCUCACUGGAAGGACUAGAGGUUAGAGGAGACCCCCCCGAAAUAAAAAACAGCAUAUUGACGC